AUUGAACGCUGGCGGCAUGCCUUACACAUGCAAGUCGAACGGUAACAGGGAGCUUGCUCCGCUGACGAGUGGCGAACGGGUGAGUAAUGUAUCGGAACGUACCAUAGAGUGGGGGAUAACUAUCCGAAAGGAUAGCUAAUACCGCAUAUUCUCUCCGGAGGAAAGCAGGGGACCGCAAGGCCUUGCGCUCUUUGAGCGGCCGAUAUCAGAUUAGCUAGUUGGUGAGGUAAAGGCUCACCAAGGCGACGAUCUGUAGCGGGUCUGAGAGGAUGAUCCGCCACACUGGAACUGAGACACGGUCCAGACUCCUACGGGAGGCAGCAGUGGGGAAUUUUGGACAAUGGGGGCAACCCUGAUCCAGCCAUGCCGCGUGAGUGAAGAAGGCCUCGGUUGUAAG
rnacentral:rRNA from 1 species